rnacentral:rRNA from 1 species
CAGGACGAACGCUGGCGGCGUGCUAAUACAUGCAGUCGAGCGGACAGAUGGGAGCUUGCUCCCUGAUGUUAGCGGCGGACGGGUGAGUAACACGUGGGUAACCUGCCUGUAAGACUGGGAUAACUCCGGGAAACCGGGGCUAAUACCGGAUGGUUGUUUGAACCGCAUGGUUCAAACAUAAAAGGUGGCUUCGGCUACCACUUACAGAUGGACCCGCGGCGCAUUAGCUAGUUGGUGAGGUAACGGCUCACCAAGGCAACGAUGCGUAGCCGACCUGAGAGGGUGAUCGGCCACACUGGGACUGAGACACGGCCCAGACUCCUACGGGAGGCAGCAGUAGGGAAUCUUCCGCAAUGGACGAAAGUCUGACGGAGCAACGCCGCGUGAGUGAUGAAGGUUUUCGGAUCGUAAAGCUCUGUUGUUAGGGAAGAACAAGUACCGUUCGAAUAGGGCGGUACCUUGACGGUACCUAACCAGAAAGCCACGGCUAACUACGUGCCAGCAGCCGCGGUAAUACGUAGGUGGCAAGCGUUGUCCGGAAUUAUUGGGCGUAAAGGGCUCGCAGGCGGUUUCUUAAGUCUGAUGUGAAAGCCCCCGGCUCAACCGGGGAGGGUCAUUGGAAACUGGGGAACUUGAGUGCAGAAGAGGAGAGUGGAAUUCCACGUGUAGCGGUGAAAUGCGUAGAGAUGUGGAGGAACACCAGUGGCGAAGGCGACUCUCNGUCUGUAACUGACGCUGAGG